GAGUAUUUGAGGAAUCCCCUACGAUCAAGUCGGGCCUGAUUAUCCAUAAGAAGCAGAAGUUGGAAUUAGCAAGCCCCCAACCAAACUCCACCAGCUGUUCUGCAGACAUGACAGUUAUGCUUCCAAAGUUCACAUAAACAACAGAAUCAGCUUCUUUGGAAUCCAGCCACUGAAGACAUGUUUUUUCCUCUUCCCAAAGACUAUAUCCGAUGCUCUUCAGACCCUCUUUCUCGUCUAAGGGGAUUUGGUUGACGAGCAACUGAUAAGGGCCUAUUGUGUAUACACUGGUGGUGUACAUAGAUGAGAUGACGUCCACAAGUUCUUGUUCCAAGUCAUCGAAGGUAUGAAGUACUUGUGCUGUCCCAUUCUUUGCUCUCUGAGUAGAUUCCAGAAAGAAGUUGAACAUAAUAUCAUUUGGAUCUAUGAUUCUAAUGUGACUUGGAAGAUCCCUCAAACGAAUGUCUCGUAUUCCUGGAAUCCAGUCUAUAAUGGUGUCCAGAUACCCAUUGCUUAGGUAACUCUCAUCUGCAUGAGCAAAAUAGUUAUUGCAUACAUGUAACAUUACAAUAUAGUUAUUACAUGAACAUUUAGUUGUGACAAAAUCAUACCUUUUAAUGGUACAAGACCUCUAUCGCGGGCAUUUUUGAAUUGAUAAAAUCCCAUAAAUCCACAAGCAGCAAUUGUCCAAAGCAAAACGACAGGAAUUCCAAGAGAAUGUGCAGCAUCCGCUGUGAAUGGCAUGAAUCCGUCAGAGAGGAUUGAAGUGACUGGAUGAAUUCCAGCAUUGAGCUUUGCGAGGAGGUCCUCAAAUGCAGGUAACAAGUUGUUCUGUAUGAUAGAAUGGCAAAGUUGAGGUAUAUCUUGAGUGGCAUCAGCAUCAGAUGGAGGGAGGCCGUCAGGGAUGGUUUGGAAACUGAAACCAGGCAGGCUUUCGACAGACUCAAGAGCUCCUGACUUAAGGAAGCGUCUCUGAUUGAACUCCGUAUUCACAAAUGUAAUGAGAGCACCUUUGCUAUGAAGGAGCUUCGCCAUUUUCAGCAUUCCCUUCAUGUGGCUUUGAGCAGGGUAAGGUAUGCAAACUACAUGAGCCUGCUUCUCUGCCGCCUCUGCCUCUGAAUUCAUAGCUUCUCUAUCACGUUUUUUUCUUACUACAAUGAAAACAGCAAGCCCCUUUGGGAGCUUUAUAGUAACGUUUUCUUUAGAGUUAGCUGAAAAAAUUAGAGCAUAUUUAUCACUAUGCAUUGAUUGUUAAGUUCUGAACCUGAUUCGUGAAUUGUAUAUUGUUGGACAGGCAAUUUUGUCCAUGUUGAAUUCGGCAGAACUGAUCAUUCCUGUAAAUGUAAAUAUAUAUAUUUGUUUAUAUUCAAUUUCCUACAGUUUCUUGAAUGCUCAGAGAUAAAACAAAAACAUUGUUGUUCGGGUAUGAACUUUUUCACUCCAGUAAUAUCUUUUAUCAUUCAUGCUUGAACAUUUUCACUCUAAUGAAUUUGAAUUCUUCUUCAAUAAUACAGAAGCAAUUAUUACGAUAGAUUGAUAUCGACCACAAGAUUUGUAAAGAGUAAUGAAUGAUUGUCCAUACAACUGUAAAGAGUAAUGAAUGAUUUGUAACUGUAUCUUUUGGUACCUGGUCCAUAUAACUGUACAAUUAUCUCAUCUUCACUGCAAUAAAAUCAGAAUGGCAAAAUAUAAGGUACCUUAUAAUUCGGGACUAUCUCGUGAGCAUUUGCUACUGUGUCACAAAUUUAUCAAGCUUCCUAGUCAUUCAAAGAAUGAAACAAAAGAGCGGAAGCUGAGAAAGAGAAAGAGCUCGGAUCUCAUGAAAAUCAAACUAAAUUUUCUUUUCUCAGGUGGCGUUUAGUCGACAAGACAAAUAUUCAUAAGAUUCCCCAUACUCAUCAAAUUGCUCUCGUAUUGUUUUGUAGGGAAUCAUUCAGCUAUCACACCAGGAUUCAAGCCCGAAAAGGAGAGGAAGGUCCGGACAUAAGUGGAGUUAUCACUGUCCCCUGGCAUCUCUUCCUAGUUAAAGCAGGUUACUAAAUCUAUUAGAAAACCAAAUAAUAUGCCGUCCCAGUCCUGUUACAUAUUUUUUUUUUCUCCGGAACAGCAGGCCUCAGACGUGACUUUCUAGCAAUUAAAAAGUGGAUGCGUCCAAUUUUCUAUAUACGAAAUUCAAUGGGCGUUCUCAAACUGACAUUACGCUCUCAGCAUUUUUUUUGAGCGUAAUGGUAAGCAAAUCAGGGAAAUUGGUAUCGUGUAAAGUUCAAAAAUCAUGUGCAGAAUUUUAAGUAUAACUCUUUGUCGCAGGAAUAAAUUUUUUGUUAGGUUACAGACUUCACAUAUAAGCAGUUUGAAAAUAUAUGCUCAACUGAAAUCUUGGAGUAUGGCAUGGGAUUUGCUCAGUUCUACACUUCCUUUCUGGCUCUGCCCCUGUGUGGUGGUCAGGCAUCGUGUCAAGUAGAAGAUUGGUUGUUCUUGUUAGGAUCGCAUUUCCGAUAGAUUGAUGUUUAUUGACAAAAAUGAAAGUUAAAAACACAAAUAAUUAACAUGAAAAUCCUGAAAAGAGGGUAAAAUCACAAAUUCAUCCGGUAUGAAUGUAUUAUAAUACUGAGUCGCUCCCUCGGUCCCUCCCUCAACACUCUUGAAUACACGCACCUCAAUUUGCACCUCAAUUUGAUCACAAAUUUUUUUUCUUAUGUAUAUCCGGCACAACUCUAUUAUAAAGUUUUGAAUACAUAAAGUUUCAAUAACAAAUAUAUUUAUAGACACCACAAAUACAAUAAUCCUGAUUUAUUUUAAAUUUUAUUUAUGAUAAUUACCAUUUUAUUUGGAAGGAAAUACUUUCACAAUUAAUAGUUCUACCAAAAAUAAGGCUAUUUUAAUUAUUAUAAAUAAAAUAUCUUCUCAAAUUAGAAUUCUUAAAUUAUUUAGAAAAUCGUGGAGAACCCAAUGGUUUUUGGUUUCAAGGUGAUUGUAGAGAGUUUAACAAGUCUAACAUGAGUGGACGUAGAAGAUUUGUCUCGAAUAUAAAUAGUCAAUUAAUUCUAUUAAUAUACCUACGCAGUACGCUUCAAUUAUAGUGACAAUUGAGUGCCAAUGUAUGUCAAAAGUGAGAAGGUUGAGAAGUUAUUUGAAAAGAAAACUACAUCUAUUGCUAUUGCUGAAGAAGAUCUCAACUUAGUUGAGAAGAAUUCUUGAAACUUCAUGCUACUAUGUUAAAGGAUCAUAAAUUCAAAGCAGCUAGAGCCUCUGUUAGAGGAGGAGCUAGAGAAAGAGAAUGGAAAGAUAGAGAAAAAGGAAGGACUCUGACCGGAAGCCAAAGUACUGAGGCAACUGAACCUAAAAGAUCAACUCAGGACAUUAGGAUUGAAUAAGGUACAAGACAAUCUCAACGAACCUCAAUUCUGAUUAAUUCUCAACUUUCUAUAGUUGUUACCUUUGGAGAUGAAGAAAUUGCUAAAGAAGAAGAAGCCGCAUUCAUUCCAAGAAGAAGAACUCAAAACCUGAUCAGGCAAAUACUGACAAUCAAAAUCCUGACAGAACUCCGCCAUUUACUGACGAAGCUAACUCUGACAAUGCAAAUAUUGAUGCUCCGCCAGAACUGAUAAAAAUGUCAAUCCUGAUAGGAUUUCUAAUAAAGAUAGUGAUAUUUUGAAUGAGCGUAAGAGCGUCUCCAGGAGUCUUCUAGUAGUAUCCAAAAUAUAAUAUAAAAUAUAUGGCUUUUAGUCCUAUAGUGUAAUUUUAAGAGUGACAACUUCAACAAUGCUCUAUAUAUCCUCUCACUAUUGUAUAUUUUAAUGAAUUUUUUAUUGUUAAAAACAACUUAAGAGCCACUACAUGACUCUUAAAAUAUAGGAAAGAAAAGAAGCUCUUAAGCUUUUUAAGAGCCACUAAGAGUCUCUUGGAGCUCAAUUUUUAAUGAUCCUCUCUAUAUCCUGUGUUAGGAGCUUAUUUAAGAGUCUAUUGGAGAUGCUCUUUUGAGUUUCAUAAUGAUGAAAUUGACGAGGAAGAAGAAAAGAUAGAUCAAAUUGAUGAGGAAGAGAAAAGGAUUGCUCAAACUGUCAGAUGAAUGAAAGUGCAUAUGUCAAAGGUCUAAAGCAAUCAAGUUUAGCAAAUUGGUUUAAUCCUAAAGAUAAGAUUUAUAAGCUUUAUUUGAGCUAUGAACCAACCAAGAGAAGGAUAAGAAAUGAAAAUCUAUUAUUAAUUUGUAUUGCAGAGCACAAAUAUUCUAUAUAAUAAUAAUAAGAAAUACAAACAAGAAGGUUCUUAUUCCUUUAAAAUUUUAAAUUAUUUAUUAUAUAUUUAAAGAAUCUCGUUUGGAAAUACGAGGUGAUGAGCCCCUCAAUUUCAGUUUCUAUCCCUCCUAUUUUGAUGCCACCUUGAUUUAAUCUGCGAUGUACAUGUACUCUAAACGGUUCAUUUCACUAUUUAAACAUGCACAUUCAAACAAAUUUUAUAAUAAACAAACUUUUCUGUAUGCAAUUAGAUUUUUGAUUUCGAAACAAUGUUAUAUUUUCAUCUAUAAAAUACUAUUCGAUUAGUAAUUUUGAGGAGUCGUCAAUAGGGUUCAUGUCAUAACGGCACGGGCAUGCCAGACUGGGCAUGCCCUAGGCAUGCCUUUUGUCCAUUUGACAUGCUUUUUUACUAAUUUUUUAUAUAAAUAAUAAAAUUUAUAUAAAUAUUAUAUCUUAUAAAUAUUGAAAAUUUUAAAUAUAGUCCAACUUCAUAGUUAAAUAUUAGAUAAACUACUAAUAUAAGUUAGUAUCGUACUAAGUUCUGUUCUUAAUAUUUACUAACUUUUGUUAUAUUUGUAAGUGCACUUUAGUAUCAAUCCUAUAAUGAUGCGGCAGUUUUUACUAUAUUUAAUGGAAAAUGGCAUGCCAUUUGGGCAUGCCAUUUUGUAAAAUACAUGCCUAUAGGCAUGCCAGUGAGAACUGCCGUGAUAUGUACCCUAGUCGUCAAGCAGGGGGCCUCUUGCUAUCACGAAUUCAUCUCAACCACCUCAAUCCUCAUGGACUACUACGCCUGACAAUUUAUAUAUUAUUAAUCCUUUACUCUAUGUAAUCAGUAUUUCAGAGGUCAGACAAUUGUGGUAGUGGGUAUGGGUCACUCAUCAAUCUACCAUUUUCUAAUUUUCAUGAACAUAGACUGGGUUCUGCUGGCGGGUGUUGGCCCCUAUAUUAUUAAUAUCCUCGAUAUCACGGAUCCAGAAAAAUAUCCUAAAAAACUACAUUUUCCAGCUUCUAGCGUUCUGUUAGAAUUAAAGAACAUAUUGGGAAAAUUAAAUUACAGGUCUCUGAACUAUUGACAUUUUAUUGUUUAGGUCCCUGAACUAAAGAUUUUGUAUUUCAGGUCACUUAAUUUUUCUGUUUUCUAAUCUAAGUCCUACCGUUAAAAAGAUUCUAACGGUGUUAACUAGAGUUCUUGAGUUUCAUACAGAUCAAAGCAAUUUUGAAAGUGUUAAUGACAUCCAAAUUCAAAGUUCAAGUAGUCAAAUUGAAGCUUUAGUCGCUAGCGGCACUCGUAUGACACCAAUUUUCACAAACUAUGUUCAAUUCAAAAUUUUCUAAAUUCAGGUCCUUAAAUUCGCUAAAGAACCCUAAAUUUAUGGUCCAAUAUGGGGUUUUUUAAAAUUAAAUCUAUUUUGUGAAAUUUGUUGUCAUAUGAGUGUUGCUAGUGAUUCAAACUUCAAUUUGACUACUUGAAUUUUGAGUUUGGAUAUCAUUAACACCUUCAAAAUUUCUUUGAUCUAUAUGAAAAUCAAGAACCCUAGUUAACACCGUUAGAAUCUUUUUGACGGAAGGACUAAGAUCAGAAAACGAAAAAGUUAAGUGACCUAAAUUACAAAAUCUUUAGUUCAGGGAUCUACACAAUUAAACGUCAAUAGUUCGAGGACCUAUAAUUUAAUUUGCCCAAACUAAUUUAUGUAUCAUUUUCUUAUGAUUAAAAGAACAUAACGCUAGUUUUUGUAGAAUUCUAUAAGAUUAAAAGAACCAGACGCUACAUCGUGUGAUGAUUUGUCGGGAAUAAAAUAACAAUACGCUACAUGAUGUAACGAUUUUUAACGAUUUUUUUUUCCCCAAAUUGAAAACGUUGACGUUAAUAACUGAUAUUUAAAACCAUUUUUUCAAUCUGUUGUUAUUCUGGCAUUAGUUCUCCAUUUUGUGAGAUCUGGGACCAUUUAUCUUCAGCGGCCCCGCCCUUCCAUCUGUCUUCUUUAAUAUUGAGUUUUCAUUUUUUAAGAACAAGACAAUAUAAAACAUAUAAAUUUAUAUAUUUUCAUAAAAUGAUAAUUAGUUUUCUAAAUCAAAAAUAUUAAAUGCUGUCUAAAUAUUUAAAUAAAUGAAAUACCAUGUUAGUGCAAAAAUUUCAAUCGAAAUAAGUCUUUAUAUUUUAAUAAACAAGUUUACCCUAAUAUGCCCAUUAUUUUGGGAUCAUAUUUGUUGGUUAAAGUAAAUAUGAUGAUUACAAGUGAUUAGUAAACUUCACUUAUAAAUUAUUAUAAAUUAUCAAAAGUGUUUGAAUCAUUUUAUAUAUAAGUCUAUUGUGUGUUUGGUAAUUUAAAUUUAUAAAUUAAAAAAAAAAUAUUAAAUUACAAGAAACUUUAUUAACAAAAUUUUUCACACAUUAAAAACUUUAAUAUUUAUAUUUCUUCCGUCCCUCUCAUUUCUUUACAGUUUUUUUUAACUGCUCGACACGCAUUUUAAGAUUCUUAUAAAACAUAGUUUUGUAAUUUACUUUUGAGAUUUUCUUUUUGUGUAUAAAAGUUCAAACAUCAAAUAUUUAUUAAAAAAAAGAUUAAAAAAUAAGUUGCGGAACUAUAUUUUCUAAGAGCAUUAGAAUGCGCGCCAAACCCUUGUCCCCAAGGUAAGCUACCUAGGGGAACAGAGGGAGUAACAGAAUGCGAAUCACUAAAAAUUCAAAAAAGACUGGCAUUUCUGACUUCUGACUUCAAAAACAUAAAAUAAGCCCUUCUACUUUUUUUUUCUCCAAACAAUACCUAACAAGCGAAACAACUUAAAAUACUAAAAGAAGUGUUUACUAUUUUGCCUUUGUAUAGCAUGAAGUUACAAAUAAAUUUUUAGGUGGUGUUUGACGGCGGCUCUUAAGUCUGACUUCAGUAUUUAUAAUUUAGAAGCACUUAUUCGUAUCGUCUGUGUAAAAAGUUAUGGAGUCCUUAUAAAAGUUGAGUUUUAUAAGAAUCCUAAUUUUUGUUUAAUGACUUCCACUUCUUUCCCAAACACUUUAAUCACUUAUAAGUGUUAACUUGUUUCUAACUUUUUUUCACUUCUUUACUUUAAACAAAAAAUUAUUUAUUUAAUUUCACCCAAAGCCCCCUUAAUAUUAUUUUUAUAAAUUGUAUUUAUGAUGUAAAUUACACUAUGAAGCAAUAAUAAAAUUAAUUUCUGAAAAACAAAUAACAAAUUUUACAGAAACGAACAAAUAUAAUGAGACAAAGUGAGUAUCUUUUAAGAUACGAAAAUAUUGAACAUGACAGCUUAUUAUAUUGCUGAUAUAUAAAGACAGUGAGUGGAGUGGGAUGACUUCCUACCUUUCAUCGAACAUGCCAAUAAUUUAAAACAACCACGACAUUAUCAGGGUGCUAAUCAUACAAUUAUAUGAAGAAGAAGAAACUAAUCAUGGUGCUCUGCUCUCAUGCAACUAUGAACAUAAAAUUAGUCAAGCCUAAUGUUCAAAAUUAUGUGCAACUUAAUAUAAAUAGACAUUUUGCAUGUGAGAAAAUAUUUCACUAAAACUGAUCCAUGAAGUUUUAUUGCACACAAAUUUAGAAGUGGUGAUAUUAUCUGAAGAAACAGAACCUUAUUCAUAUAGAGAAAUGGAAGUUUAUGGCUUCAUCUAGUACAUUUUAGUUCUUGAGAAGAAGAACCAGUUUGUCCAAAUUAAGAGAAGAUGAGCCAUUAGGUGCACAGGCCUGCUCAGCCAUUUCCUUCAACUUGAUAGCCUUGUUUCUCAUUCUCUUGCCCUCAAUUCCAUCCAUCAAUUGUCGAACAAGUUUCUCCACAUCGUCUCUUCUGACGUCGUUAGGAAUCUCCAGUCCGCACUCCCAUAUGUCACGCAAGAACUUGCAGUUUAUUUGUUGAUCUGCAAAGAAAGGCCAACAGAGCAUUGGCACUCCCGCGGAUAUGCUCUCUAUAAUUGAGUUCCACCCUCCAUGCGUCAAGAAGCCUCCCACAGACGCGUGGUUGAGGACAUCUUCCUGUGGACACCAACUUGCUAUGAAGCCUCUGCCCUUGAUGGCAUCCAUAAAUUCAACUCCCAAUGUAUUACUAUUUGUCGAUUCACCCACGAUCAGGUCGGGCCUGAUUAUCCACAAGAAGCAGAAGUUGCUAUUGGCAAGCCCCCAGCCAAACUCCUUAAGCUGCUCUGCAGACAGGACUGUUAUGCUUCCAAAGUUGACAUAAACAACAGAAUCAGCUUCUUUAGAAUCCAGCCACUGAAGACAUGUUUUUUCCUCUUCCCAAAGAUUAUAUCCAAUGCUCUGCAGACCCUCUUUCUGAUCUAAUGGUAUUUGGUUGAGGAGCAUCUGUUGAGGGCCUAUUGUGUAUACUUUGGGAAACAUAGAUGAGAGGACGUUUACAAGUUCUUGUUCCAAAUCAUCGAAGGUAUGAAUUACAAUUGCUGUAGCAUUCUUUGCUCUUUGAGUACAUUCCAUAAAGAACUUGUACAUAAAAUCAUCUGCCUCAAAAAUUCUGAUGUGACUUGGAAGAUCCCUCAGACGAAUUUCUGGCAUACCUGGAAUCCAGUCUACAAUGGUCUCCAAAUACCCAUUGGUUAAACAGCUCUCAUCUGCAUCAUGAUGAACACUGUCAUGACAAAUAUGUACCAAAACAAAUAGAUACUGCAUGGCGCAUGCACAUAUUAUUUUAAGAGCUCUGACCUUAAGUCAUGGAUUCUUACCUUUAAGUGGUACAAGACCUCUAUCAAGGAGAUUUUUGAACUGAUAAAAUGCCAUAAAUGCACAAGCAGCAAUUGUCCAAAGCAAAACAAUAGGAAUUCCAAGAGAAUGUGCAGCAUCGGCUGUGAAUGGCAUGAAACCGUCAGAGAGGAUCGAAGUGACUGGAUGGAUUCCAGCAUUGAGCUUCGACAGAAGGGUCUGAAGUGGAGGUAGCAUGUUGUUUUCUAUGAUGCCAUGACAAAGUGCAGGUAUGUCUUGGGUGGCGUCAGGAUCAGACGGAGGGAGGCCAUCAGGGAUGGUUUCAAAUCUGAAACCAGGGAGGCGUUCAAGAGAUUGAAGAGCACCUGCUUUGAGCAAGCGUCGGUGAUUGAACUCUGUAUUCACAAAUGUAACGAAACAGCCUUUGCUGUGAAGGAGCUUUGCCAUUUUCAGCAUUGCCUUCAUAUGGCUUUGAACAGGGGUAGGAAUGCACACUACAUGAGCCUGCUUCUCUGCUACUCUUUCUACUGAAGCCAUUACUUCUGUCAUGUUUUUAUGUUCAUAAAAGCAACCAGCAAGGACCCUUUUAUAGCUGAUGCUUUUAGAGUUGGCUGAAUAGGCCAGAAUAUGGUGCAGCCUGCAUGCUUUGAUUAGUUUUAUUAUUUCAAUCUCAUUUAAAAAAAUAUGCGAUAAUGUACCAAUUUAUUAAUAUUGCAGGUCCAUCUGAUUAUCUGAAAGGAGAUUAAUUUUUGAAUAUUGCUAAGUGCUAACCAUGACUAAGCAAGCCCUCAGACUCUCAUUCUCAUAACAAAGUUUCAAAAUCUAAGCAAGCUGACAAUCUACAUCGUUUCUCUGCACAUUAUUUGGAAUCUGCAAUCUGCACUCCCUUCGGUCACACAAGUACUUGCAGGGGCUGGAGCUACUUCCGGCUUCUGCUUUUUUUGACCCGUUUGUAUAAAUAAUCAGAAGCACUUUUAAGAAUCUGAGAAUGCUAGCUUUUCUCUCAGAGCUUCUGUUUCUUUUCCAAACACUUUAUUAACUUAUUAACUUAUCACUUCUACUCAACUUCUCCAAUUUAAAUAAGAAGUCACUUCUUUUAAGCUAACUCAAACGGCUCCACAGUUUAUUGGUUGAUCUCCAAAUAAAGGUCAACAGAGCAUCUGCCUGCCCAGCUAUCGAAUAUAAAAUAUUUGAUGUAAAAUAUGAGUGAACAUGUGUGUGUACUAAUAAAAAAAUACAACGAUAAUGAAAAUACGAAAUAAAUUUCAACCUAAUCCCAGUUAUCAUCUACCUAAAGAUAUUAAUUGUGCAACAAUCCAGUGUGUGGUGUAGAUAGUUGCCAACAAAUACAACCAGAAACUUCACAUACAUUUCACGUCUCUACUUGACAAGAGCGUCUGCCUAAAUUUCAUUCAAAGAUAAUUUAGCUUUUUAAGUUGAAUGUCUUAGUAAAAUGACACUGAUGUUGUAAUAUUGCAGUUCAAGCUGCGUACACUACUGUCCAGAUCGAUAGUCGUAGAAAUUCGUAACCAUAUCCAUAUUUUCAAAAAUACGGUUAAAGUUGGAUAUGAAGUUGGAACACAGGUUGAAAAUAGUUGCUCGCAUUUACAAUUGAGUUUGAAUAUAUAUUUUACAGUAUUUUCGAAAAAAAUAUUUUACAGAAUUCUACCCUACCAAGAGACCGAACAAAUUAAUAACAGAUCUUAAACAAAAUCAAGAUAGGAUAACUCAUUUAAGAAUCUGCCGUACUUCCAUUAAUUCCAUGUCUUCCAUCUGCAUUGAUGCGUCCUCACUCCUCAUCAUUCGGAAGAAUUCCUACCCCGCAUCACCAUCACCUUGCAGUGCAUUGAUUACCAAGUUGAUGUUUUUAGUCUGCAGACUUGUUUGGUUUGUAUUUGAGUAGUAUGAUUUGUUAAACAGUCAUCGAUGGAUAAGCAGUCACCAAAAUUGUGGUCAUUGGGUGAAGAAAACUAUUCACAAUAAUUCAUUACAGGGUACUUCAUUUGAGUCAUUUCUCACUGAAUCAUCACGGGAAUUCCUCGAUGAUUCCUGCAAUUUCCUCUACCCAAAUUCCUCAAUGAUUCCUGCAAUUUCCUCUACCCAAAUUCCCUUCCAUAACUUCCUUUUAAUUAAUACCUUUUACUUUUACUUUUUAAUUUUUAAUUAUAUUUAUAUUUAAUUUUACAAUCGAAAAUUUCAAGGAAUGAACCUAUUUAAUGAGAGUCCUCUCAGUCUCAUUUUUCCCUUAUAUAGAAAUACUAAAAAUAAAAAAUAUAAAUAAUCUCAUAAAAAUAUCAGUCCAACCAUACUCUCCCAUUGUUCAUAAUUUUAGCCAAUUUUUUAUGGAUAAUUAUAUAUGUUGAAUAACUAUAAAUUUAUAGCAAAUGACGGAUCACCAAUUAUCAUAUUAAAACAAUAUAUUCUAUAUUCAAAAAACUUCAAAUAAUAAUAUCAUGUUAUAUUUAAAAUAUAGUCAAUCAAUGUAACCAAUACUAUCGAAACAAAAUGUACUACAGGCUCAACAAAUUUUAUAUAAUAUCUUACAUGCUCAAUUUAGCUGACCAUUAUAAUCAACCCACCCCGUGGAGAUGCUCUAAGCAUUCGAUGAAAAAAGAUGUAGAAUCCUGCUCUAACUAGGAGGCAAGCUGACAAUUUGAAAAUAAAUUUUACAUAUUCUUGUUCUUUAAAAGAAGAAGCAGUUUUUUAAAAUUGAGGAAAGAUGAGCCAUUAGGAUGACAUGAUUUUUCUGCCAAUUUCUUCCACUCCAUAGCCUUGUUUCUCAUUUUCUUACCCUCGACUCCAUCCAUCAACUGUCUAACAAGCAUCUCUACAUCGUUUCUCUGCACAUUAUUAGGAAUCUCCAAUCCGCACUCCCAUUGGUCACACAAGUACUUACAGUUUAUUGGUUGAUCUCCAAAGAAAGGCCAACAGAGCAUCGGCACUCCAGCUGAUAUGCUCUCUAUGAUUGAGUUCCACCCUCCAUGAGUCAAGAAUCCUCCCACUGAUACGUGGUUGAGGACAUCCUCUUGUGGACACCAGCUUGAAAUUAGACCCCUGUCCUUGAUGGCUUCAAUAAAUUGAACUCCCAAGUUAACUGCAGAUUCACCUACAAUCAAAUCAGGCCUAAUAAUCCAUAAAAAGUUGCAUUUGCUAUUAGCAAGUCCCCAACCAAACUCUAUAAGCUGCUCUUCAGACAUGACUGUUAUGCUUCCAAAGUUCACAUAAACUACAGACUCAGCUUCUUUCGAGUCCAGCCACUCAAGACAUGAUUUUUCCUCUUCCCAAAGACUAUAUCCAAU
rnacentral:lncRNA from 1 species